CCUCCAUCAUAAAGGAACCCUGAAAAACAUUUUCCCCUCUAAUGAGGCAGAGACAAAGUCUUAAGGAAGCCAUAGGGCAGAGUGACCAACAGAGAAGUUAGGAUACACACCGCAGUGCAAGGUUUUCUGCUCCCCAAAAUGAGGCCUGUUUACGGAGAGAGAGUCAACAUCCCCUAAG